rnacentral:rRNA from 1 species
AUUGAACGCUGGCGGCAGGCCUAACACAUGCAAGUCGAGCGAGCGGCGGACGGGUGAGUAAUGUAUGGGGACUGCCUGAUAGAGGGGGAUAACUACUGGAAACGGUGGCUAAUACCGCAUACUAUCGGAUAACCCAUAUGGGAUUAGCUAGUAGGUGGGGUAAAGGCUCACCUAGGCGACGAUCUCUAGCUGGUCUGCGAGGAUGAUCAGCCACGAUGGUACCUAGACACGGCCCAGACUCCUACGGAGGCAGCAGUGGGGAAUAGUGCACAAUGGGCGCAAUCCUGAUGCAGCCAUGCCGCGUGUAUGAAGAAGGCCUUAGGGUUGUAAAGUACUUUCAGCGGGGAGGCGUUACCCGCAGAAGAAGCACCGGCUAACUCCGUGCCAGCAGCCGCGGUAAUAC